ensembl:lncRNA
AAGAAAUGCUUAAAACGGUAGGGUCAAAACUGCAAAGGGGGAAUCCAAAGCCUACUUCCAAAUCUGUGCUGUCCACAUUUUCAGAGAUGAUCACAUAUUUAUACUCAAUUGUGAGCACAAACUGUUCAGGCAUCUCAUAAUCCAAUUUUGACUUACAAACGCACAGCUUGCUUUCAGAAAUAUGUUUGCAUGUGUAAUUAAAAGACAUGGGGUAACGCUUACAGCUCCUGCCAAGGCAUUCAGCAGAGAGCACCCUGGAGAAGGAGAUGAAAGCAACCAGAGCAGGAGCCAGACAAACUGGAAUACGGGGCAGCAACAGCAGGAGCCAGGAGCAGAUAAAAGGUUAAUGCAACAUUCGUGAGAGCAAGAUGGGGGACUGUAUCCCAGGCAGGACUUAGAACAGGUCCUGAGAGUUGCAUGAAACACACUGGUAAGUGUGAAUUACGGAGCUAAAGUUCUGGUUUGGGACUUGUGACAACUUCAUAAAUCAUGUUUGCUUUUCUCUCAUGGUUCAUGAUAUCACUGGAAACCCUUGAUGGAAAUAUAAUCUCAUGAGUGAGAUACCUGCUAUUUAUUGUCUACCUUAUCUAUAUAACCAACAAAUAUUGGUUUACAGCAAGCAUGACUUACAUCUAGUCACAUUUGAACUCAAGGACCUCCAGAGAUGAAAAGCAUAACAAUAAUCUAUAGUUUGCCAAGCCCACCAGAAUACUUUGUCACAGUGAUGGAGGGUGGGAGAAGGGAGGGAUGCAGGGAAGAAGAGAGUGUAUUUCUGGGUUUGUGUGUGUGCAAGGAAAGGAAGGUGGUCAGGUGCAGGGUUAGGUUAGGCAUGUGAGUAGCAAUGCAAAUCCAUUUUCAAAGACACAGUGCAGUCACACAACUCCUUAAAACUAGUGGGAAAUGUCUGGCUAAAUUCUAUGCAGCACCAAAAUUUGAGGGGAAAGUCUUCAGCCAUUAACUGUGAUAUAAUUUCAUUUGAAAGCUUAAUGAGAGAGGGAAAAUAGCAUUUGGGGGGCAAGGCAUUUGCAUAGCCCACUUCUGCAGGUGUCUAAUUGGUAGUGAUACAGGUUUCAUUAGAAUACACAGCAGGUUGUGGAGCUAUCUAAAAUGCCACUGAAGAUAAAUGCAUUUUGUUACCAGCAAAUGUAACUGCUUGCACUGGCAACCAACACUGAAAUAUACUCUCUGAUAGCCAUACUGCAUCCUUCCUUUCAUCCAGCUCUGUAGAAAAAUUUGAUCAUACAAAGAAUUAUUAACACCUUGUAUGCUGGAGAGAAACCAGUUUAAAAACCGUAAGUAUGGAAAUCUAAAGUUGUGGUGGAUAAAACCAACAUACUGCCUUUAUUAGUGCUCUGUUUACUGUAGUCCUUGCAGGAGCAGAGGAUGCAGGUGGUGCAACAGAACCACACUCUGAAGUUAAUGGGCUUCUGUACUUUCAAGACACAGUGUGAGAAGGUAAAGAGGGUUUAUACUAAAUCCUGCAUGCAGGAAAUUAAUUCGUAGAUAUGCUGUUCUCUUGCAAGUAUGCAGUAUUUUUACAUGGAAGAUGUUAAGGAUUUCUUCCUGAGGAUUCUUGGCUGGAGUGUAUAAGAAUAACAAAUCACAAACCACAAGGAAAUACUGGUUUUGGACAACAUCUGUCUCCUCACUCUUGUUAAAAUUGAGUGUGAUUGUAAAUACAUAUCUCUCAAACAAAUGGAAACAAAUGCAAGAAUACUGCAGUCUUAAACCUUACCUAAACCCACAAGCAUUUGAGAAACUAUUCAAAUGCAACCAGCUAACCAAAGCCAAAAUGAAAUAUUGGAAACACAGGAAAGCACAGAGUUGCAGAGUUAAAGUAUCCUAAAUAAAGUUAAAUCCACCACCUCUAACAUUUACAUUUUCUUGUGUUUCCUAUUUUUUUUUUCUUUUUUUUUUUGUCUUAUACUUUAAAUAGUGAGCACUUUUGCAUGGGGCUAUCUUUUUGUCCUUUGUUUGUACAGCACUUGGCAGAGAAAGUCAAGAAAGUCUGGGUUGAUGACUGAUACUCCUAGGCAACAUGCUUACACAAAGAAGUGUCAUUAAUAAAAAAGCAUCUGGCUAACUUCUUAUUUUAUAAAAGGUGGAGUUCUUGGGUGUUUUCAGGGGAACAGAAGAAGAGCUUAUGUUUUGUAUGUUUAUUCUUCAAGCACUAAGAAACUUGAAAAGUAUUCUUACAGGUGCAAAAAGCUGUUCUCUGCAUGCUAUAUAUGAACAGUGGUAGGCAGUUGCAUCAGUUAGAAGGUGGUUUCUUGUAAGAAGUAUAAAAGUUUACCUACACUUCCAGUAACAAAAUAUAUUGGAGCUUUUUUAGGUUUGGAUUUGGUAUUUUUUUUAUCCUUCAGGAAAUACCCAGACAUUUAUAAUGGACAGACAGGCAGGCA